CCCUUAGAUGUUCUGGGCCGCACGCGUGCUACACUGAGUGGAUCAGCGGGUCAGGUUGCGCGAAAGUGUUUCCUAAUCUUGAAAUCCGCUCGUGAUGGGGAUUGACGGUUGCAAUUUUCCGUCAUGAACGAGGAAUACCUUGUAAGCGCGGGUCAUCAUCCCGCGCUGAAUACGUCCCUGCCCUUUGUACACACCGCCCGUCGCUCCUACCGAUUGAGUGGUCCGGUGAGGCUUUGGGAUCUGAGCGGAAAGAGCGUUUCGCUGUUUCUGCUCGGAAAACUCAGUCGAACCUUAUCAUUUUGAGGAAGGAGAAGUCGUAACA
rnacentral:rRNA from 1 species